rnacentral:rRNA from 1 species
AGGGAAUCUUCCACAAUGGACGCAAGUCUGAUGGAGCAACGCCGCGUGAGUGAAGAAGGUUUUCGGACCGUAAAGCUCUGUUGUUGGUGAAGAAGGAUAGAGGUAGUAACUGGCCUUUAUUUGACGGUAAUCAACCAGAAAGUCACGGCUAACUACGUGCCAGCAGCCGCGGUAAUACGUAGGUGGCAAGCGUUGUCCGGAUUUAUUGGGCGUAAAGCGAGCGCAGGCGGAAGAAUAAGUCUGAUGUGAAAGCCCUCGGCUUAACCGAGGAAUUGCAUCGGAAACUGUUUUCUUGAGUGCAGAAGAGGAGAGUAGAACUCCAUGUGUAGCGGUGGAAUGCGUAGAUAUAUGGAAGAAUACCAGUGGCGAAGGCGGCUCUCUGGUCUGCAACUGACGCUGAGGCUCGAAAGCAUGGGUAGCGAACAGGAUUAGAUACCCUGGUAGUCCAUGCCGUAAACGAUGAGUGCUAAGUGUUGGGAGGCUUCCGCCUCUCAGUGCUGCAGCUAACGCAUUAAGCNCUCCGCCUGGGGGAGUACGACCGCAAGGUUGAAAC